CUGGAGUGCAGUGGCGUGAUCUCAGCUCACUGCAACCUCUGCCUUCCAGGUUCAAGCGAUUCUCCUGCCUCAGCCUCCCAAGUAGCUGGGACCACAAGUGUGCACCACCACACCCAGCUAAUUUUUGUAUUUUCAGUAGAGACGAGGUUUUGCCAUGUUGGCCAGGCUGGUCUCAAACUCCUGACCUCAAGUGAUCCACCCGCCUUGGCCUCCCAAAGUGCUGGGAUUACAGGCGUGAGCCACCAUG
rnacentral:lncRNA from 10 species